GCCCCUAUGGCGCAGUGGCUACCGCGUCGCACUUGUAGGGAUUUUGUGCCUUGACAUGCGAAGAUCGCUCGUUCGACUCGGGCUGGGGGCA